CCCUUAGAUGUUCUGGGCCGCACGCGCGCUACACUGACGAAUGCAACGAGCUUAUAACCUUGGCCGAAAGGUCUGGGUAAUCUCCAAAUUUCGUCGUGAUGGGGAUAGAUUAUUGCAAUUAUUAAUCUUCAACGAGGAAUGCCUAGUAAGCGCAAGUCAUCAGCUUGCGUUGAUUACGUCCCUGCCCUUUGUACACACCGCCCGUCGCUCCUACCGAUUGAAUGGUCCGGUGAAGCGCUCGGACCGCGGCCUCUUGACGGUUCGCUGUCGAUUGGCUGUGGGAAGUUCGUUACACCUUAUCAUUUAGAGGAAGGAGAAGUCGUAACA
rnacentral:rRNA from 1 species